rnacentral:rRNA from 1 species
GUACAGGGUGAUAGUCCCGUACACCAAAAUGCACAGGCUGUGAACUCGAAGAGUAGGGCGGGACACGUGGUAUCCUGUCUGAAUAUGGGGGGACCAUCCUCCAAGGCUAAAUACUCCUGACUGACCGAUAGUGAACCAGUACCGUGAGGGAAAGGCGAAAAGAACCCCGGCGAGGGGAGUGAAAAAGAACCUGAAACCGUGUACGUACAAGCAGUGGGAGCACCUUCGGGUGUGACUGCGUACCUUUUGUAUAAUGGGUCAGCGACUUAUAUUCUGUAGCAAGGUUAACCGUAUAGGGGAGCCGCAGGGAAACCGAGUCUUAACUGGGCGUUAAGUUGCAGGGUAUAGACCCGAAACCCGGUGAUCUAGCCAUGGGCAGGUUGAAGGUUGGGUAACACUAACUGGAGGACCGAACCGACUAAUGUUGAAAAAUUAGCGGAUGACUUGUGGCUGGGGGUGAAAGGCCAAUCAAACCGGGAGAUAGCUGGUUCUCCCCGAAAGCUAUUUAGGUAGCGCCUCGUGAAUUCAUCUUCGGGGGUAGAGCACUGUUUCGGCUAGGGGGUCAUCCCGACUUACCAACCCGAUGCAAACUACGAAUACCGAAGAAUGUUAUCACGGGAGACACACGGCGGGUGCUAACGUCCGUCGUGAAGAGGGAAACAACCCAGACCGCCAGCUAAGGUCCCAAAGUCAUGGUUAAGUGGGAAACGAUGUGGGAAGGCACAGACAGCCAGGAUGUUGGCUUAGAAGCAGCCAUCAUUUAAAGAAAGCGUAAUAGCUCACUGGUCGAGUCGGCCUGCGCGGAAGAUGUAACGGGGCUAAACCAUGCACCGAAGCUGCGGCAGCGACACUAUGUGUUGUUGGGUAGGGGAGCGUUCUGUAAGCCUGCGAAGGUGACCUGUGAGGGUUGCUGGAGGUAUCAGAAGUGCGAAUGCUGACAUAAGUAACGAUAAAGCGGGUGAAAAGCCCGCUCGCCGGAAGACCAAGGGUUCCUGUCCAACGUUAAUCGGGGCAGGGUGAGUCGACCCCUAAGGCGAGGCCGAAAGGCGUAGUCGAUGGGAAACAGGUUAAUAUUCCUGUACUUGGUGUUACUGCGAAGGGGGGACGGAGAAGGCUAUGUUAGCCGGGCGACGGUUGUCCCGGUUUAAGCAUGUAGGCUGGUUAUCCAGGCAAAUCCGGAUAAUCAAGGCUGAGGUGUGAUGACGAGGCACUACGGUGCUGAAGUAACAAAUGCCCUGCUUCCAGGAAAAGCCUCUAAGCAUCAGGUAACAUCAAAUCGUACCCCAAACCGACACAGGUGGUCAGGUAGAGAAUACCAAGGCGCUUGAGAGAACUCGGGUGAAGGAACUAGGCAAAAUGGUGCCGUAACUUCGGGAGAAGGCACGCUGGUGUGUAGGUGAAGUCCCUGCGGAUGGAGCUGAGACCAGUCGAAGAUACCAGCUGGCUGCAACUGUUUAUUAAAAACACAGCACUGUGCAAACACGAAAGUGGACGUAUACGGUGUGACGCCUGCCCGGUGCCGGAAGGUUAAUUGAUGGGGUUAUCCGUAAGGAGAAGCUCUUGAUCGAAGCCCCGGUAAACGGCGGCCGUAACUAUAACGGUCCUAAGGUAGCGAAAUUCCUUGUCGGGUAAGUUCCGACCUGCACGAAUGGCGUAAUGAUGGCCAGGCUGUCUCCACCCGAGACUCAGUGAAAUUGAACUCGCUGUGAAGAUGCAGUGUACCCGCGGCAAGACGGAAAGACCCCGUGAACCUUUACUAUAGCUUGACACUGAACAUUGAGCCUUGAUGUGUAGGAUAGGUGGGAGGCUU